rnacentral:rRNA from 1 species
CCUACGGGUGGCUGCAGUGGGGAAUAUUGGACAAUGGGCGAAAGCCUGAUCCAGCCAUGCCGCGUGUGUGAAGAAGGCCUUCGGGUUGUAAAGCACUUUCAGUGGGGAAGAAAGCCUUGGGGCUAAUACCCUCGAGGAAGGACAUCACCCACAGAAGAAGCACCGGCUAACUCCGUGCCAGCAGCCGCGGUAAUACGGAGGGUGCGAGCGUUAAUCGGAAUUACUGGGCGUAAAGCGCGCGUAGGCGGUCUGAUAAGCCGGUUGUGAAAGCCCCGGGCUCAACCUGGGAACGGCAUCCGGAACUGUCAGGCUAGAGUGCAGGAGAGGAAGGUAGAAUUCCCGGUGUAGCGGUGAAAUGCGUAGAGAUCGGGAGGAAUACCAGUGGCGAAGGCGGCCUUCUGGACUGACACUGACGCUGAGGUGCGAAAGCGUGGGUAGCAAACAGGAUUAGAUACCGGGUAGUC